AGUGAACGCUGGCGGUAGGCCUAACACAUGCAAGUCGAACGGCAGCACAGAGGAGCUUGCUCCUUGGGUGGCGAGUGGCGGACGGGUGAGGAAUACAUCGGAAUCUACUCUGUCGUGGGGGAUAACGUAGGGAAACUUACGCUAAUACCGCAUACGACCUACGGGUGAAAGCAGGGGACCUUCGGGCCUUGCGCGAUUGAAUGAGCCGAUGUCGGAUGAGCUAGUUGGCGGGGUAAAGGCCCACCAAGGCGACGAUCCGUAGCUGGUCUGAGAGGAUGAUCAGCCACACUGGAACUGAGACACGGUCCAGACUCCUACGGGAGGCAGCAGUGGGGAAUAUUGGACAAUGGGCGCAAGCCUGAUCCAGCCAUACCGCGUGGGUGAAGAAGGCCUUCGGGUUGUAAAGCCCUUUUGUUGGGAAAGAAAUCAGCUGGUUGAUACCCGGUUGGGAUGACGGUACCCAAAGAAUAAGCACCGGCUAACUUCGUGCCAGCCGCCGCCGUAA
rnacentral:rRNA from 1 species